rnacentral:rRNA from 1 species
CAGUAGCGUAUAUUAAAGUUGUUGCGGUUAAAAAGCUCGUAGUUGGAUUUCUGCUGAGAACGACCGGUCCGCCCUCUGGGUGUGUAUCUGGCUCUUUCUUGGCAUCUUCUUGGUGAACGUUGCUGCACUUGACUGUGUGGAGCGCUACCCAGGACUUUUACUUUGAGGAAAUUAGAGUGUUUCAAGCAGGCAUACGCCUUGAAUACAUUAGCAUGGAAUAAUAAGAUAGGACCUCGGUUCUAUUUUGUUGGUUUCUAGAGCUGAGGUAAUGAUUAAUAGGGAUAGUUGGGGGCAUUCGUAUUUAACUGUCAGAGGUGUGAUUCUUGGAUUUGUUAAAGACGGACUACUGCGAAAGCAUUUGCCAAGGAUGUUUNCAUUGA